AUAACAGUCUUCAUCAAAUACCUACUAACAGGAAAGUCAAGGCAGGAAGUGUUGAUCUGUGGUUAGGCACAUGAGGCCGAGUGUGCAUCUGAGAUAGCGGAAAUAAGUUUAAACAAAGGAAAGUCUAACAGAAUUAAGGGCCUUGCGGUCCUAAAAUUGCAUCAAGCUCAAAGUUUGAUUAGCCUUGUCAGCACCUAAAAUUGUCUUUGAGAUUGCCCAAAGUGUCCCUGGAAAACCAGAGAGAUUUGUCCUUUCACCUUGUAACAGGGGAAAUAAUAUAAAUAAUUAGGUUUAUUUGAUAUGUUACUGAUGAUGAGUUGAAUGGGGAAUAUUGUCAAAUCAGAAGAAAUGCUUAGACUUCCCUAGGUUAAAUUUGUAUGGGUAAAAUGUUAUUAAUAUAAAUAUUUAAACAAUUGUAUUCUGUACGGGAAAGUUCUAUAGAAUUGUCAAAGUGUUUCUUGUUCAUAUGUUUCUGUUUUUCUGAGUCCUUUGCAUAAAAGCAGGAUAGUGCUAUCAGUCAUAAUUUGUUAUUUUUACAACAUUAACUUGGUUGCAAUUUUAUUUCUUUAAUUUGAAUCUAGUAUAUUCCGGGCCAGUAGUUUUCUACUGGGGAUUCACAUCACUUAUCUGUGGAGUUUUAUUAACCUACUGAUGUAUAGAACCUACUCCAAAUUAAUGAAUCUAUUUACUUGAUAAUCUUGAUAUAUUCUUGGUAUAUUCUUUAUCUGUGCUAAGUAUGUAUGGCAUCUAAUGUCUCAGGAUUUUUAUAUGUUAUAUCUGAAAAUGUUUUCUCUGUAAAGAUUAUGCUCAUCCAUUUUCAUAAGUCAGAUGUAACAUCUACUUUUUUUGUAAAUAGGCUUAAAUCUUUGUGUUUGUAGAUAUUUCGUCUAAAAUUUUUUGCAUUGAGCUUAUUUUGCUUUGCAAGCCGUGGAAACCACCAGAUACGCUUGUUAAUUGCAUUAUUCUUGUACUGGACUCUCUUCAGAUCAUUCACUUUUGAAAAAUAUCAAUAAUAAGUAAACAAUAGCCAUUUUUAGUCUUAUGUCAUCUACAGAUAGUUCUGUUCCUGUGUUUUAUUUUACUCCUGAUGCUUCCAUGUAAUCACUUGCAAUCAGUUAUAGGGCAGAGUGCUCCAUCUUCAAGAAAGAAGGACUGUCUUAGAGCCUGGUGAAAAAAGACUAUGCUAGGACACUUGGGUACAGGUUUCUGAAUGACAUUGCUUGAAUAACUGUGAGUUCAUACCAGCAGAUGGAGUUAGAAGUUCCAGCCGUCAAGUGAAGACACAAUGCAUUCAUGAGACUACAGACCCAAGAUCAAGCAGAAGAAGAAUUAAUUAAAAAGGAUGGAAUGAACUGGAUAAAUAUGAACUAUAUUUGGAAUAGUGCUAAUGCUUUAAUGUUCUGUUUUCUGGAUAGAAGGAACCACUUUUUCUUAAGCAAGUUGACAAAUUAGUAGACUGUGCUCUCGUAAACGGAAAUGAAACAUUUAUCUUUUCUACCCUUCCAAAAUUCAGAAACUCUUAUCGAGUAUUCCUGUUUUCAUGGCAAUAUGGUUAUUUGCAUAAAUUCAGUAAGAGUCUAUCCACCUUGUUAAUAGGACUUAAUCGGAAACAUUGAUUGGUUACAGCGGCAACAAAGGCUGGCCUAUAAUGUCAUAUUUGAGAAUGAUGCUCAUUUAAGCAGAUAUGAGCAGACACUUUUGAGGAACUCAGGUUGGCUUGAUGGGGUCGAUGCUUACAACAUGCCCCUGGGGAAAAUUGGCCUGGCAUCUGGCUCUCCAGUGUUCCCAGCCUCAUGGGUGAGUGAGGAAGGUCACUGCCUGGCAGGCUCAGGAAUCUUCGGAUAUUUGGGGGACCUCAGAAAGAGAGGAACUCCUGCCAAUCCAUAGGUACCGCAGGUGACAAAUGAUGGUGAAUUCUUGGCUUGGCUUCCUAUCCUCAAGAGGCUCACAAAAAUCCAAUCUGAGAUGCUUUGUGAAAACUCUCAGCAAAGCAAAGGCAAGAAGACCUAUAUGGUAAAUUGUCAUUCUUGCUGCAUCUAUGUAAAUAACCGGGCCACAUCUAAAGAGGCCAGCCUUAUUUUGCGAUCAAGAAUGAUCUUUGUUUGAGAUUGUCUUUGAUCAGAAGGGCCAGAGGGACUGUAGAGAGAAAUUUUGUGCUUCAUCGGGCAACUAUGCAUGCCCUCUGGGUUAUCAGAUUCUGAUUCCAUUCAUUGUCUUGGAGCUAUUUUGCACCUCUGUGUAAAUUGCAGGUGACUGAUAGACACUCAAACUUUGUCUAGUCUGGUAAGCAAGCUUUCUCUUUCACUGUGCAAAAGCCGGUUUGGUAUUUACCUCCAAACUGGGCUGGAUCCUCUCACCUUGCUAGCCUGUCAACCCUUAGCAGAUUUUCAAGUCUUCCAGUUUCCUUCGAUAUCUGGCUACAAACUCACCUUAGCCUCCAAACAAGUUUUCCAGUUUUUCUCCCUCCUUCUUGACUUGGAGUCACUGAGAACUCAAACCUGAAUGCCCACAUUCUUACUGGGACUCUAGGUUGCCUUGUAGCUGGUCUUUGCCCCCAGGACCUGCAGACGCACUGCAAGUUCAAGCCUGACAGCCUGUUAUUGACCUAGAAGGACUCAUCACCCCAGUUGACCGUUCAUGGUCCAGCUCUUUCCCUGGACAAGCCACUACUUGGACUACCAAGCAAGAUUGGUGAAAUACUCAGAUCAUCCAUGCCCAUAUUGGAGAAGUAAACAGUGUUGUGGACAUCACCAAUACCAAACGACAUCUUAGCUUCAAAAAACUCAUUUUCUUGGAGGUUGCACCAAAAUACUGUUUGCACUGACUGUCACCAUGGACCCAAGUCUUCAACUAGGUGCAGAACCCACUGUGCCUUCCUGCUCACUUCUUGUCAAGUCCACAAUGAUGUGAGAGAGCAUUCUUUUGUGUAUUUCACCUGCUGGUGGAUGCAGAAUGUUGUGUCUGCAUUUGGAGUUGGCCAACCAUCAAUCUGGGGAUCUGACAUAUGAGAUGCACAAGUAUUUCAUUACUACCCACCCUUGUCAACUCUCAUGGGCUCAUCUGAAUAUAAAUUUUAUCCUUUUCCAGGUUCCUUAAGAAAGAAAGAGGGUAACAUCAGCAACAUGGAGGAGUGAACUUGCCUAGGACUCUCUCUUCUCCAACAUACAACAAAAAGGGGCAAACAUACUCCAACAGAGGACAUCCUAACAACACCAAAAUGUUGGAGAGACAGGUGGCCACAUGAUGGAGGCCAGAGAGGCUGGAGUCCCCCUCAGAGGAGCUGAAACGGGAUCUCCAUGUGUGCCUACUGAGUACUACUUCCUUUGUGAUCAGGAUGCCUGGUUCUGUUUGCUUCAGACUCUGCCAAAUGCAUUCCUGUUUAACAUGCCUGGACUUCAAGACCCUAAAACAAUGGAACUUUGCUAUAACCUCUCAACAGAUACUUCAACUCAUUUUAUAGAAACAACAUCAACAAGAGUCCUAGAAAGACUAUUAGAUCCUGCUUCAUCUCAUGCAGGAGUUUUAUGCUUGUGGUUUAGCAGUUCAGGAACCAAUUCUUAUUGAACAAAAGGAGGGACUGACAAUGUUGAACUUUACCUGAGCUCUGUGUCCCUGAAAAAGAGUUAUGGUUAAGAAAUCUCACAUUCUUUGUGUUUCAAAAAACGACUUACUGAAAAGAGCCAUUCUUCUCUGUAAAAUUUAGGUAAGACUCGCAGUUCACUCUUUCUCAUGACUCCAAAAAGACUCUCGUGUCUGGGUAUCUAUGGACAAUUGAUUUUUGACAAGGAUGUCAAGACCACUUAAUGAGGAAAGAAUAUUCUUUUAAACAAAUGGUUCUGGGCCAACUGGAUAUAGUCACAUGCAAAAAAAUGAAGUUGGGUACUUACUUCACACUAUAUAAAAAAUGAACUCAAAAUGAAUCAUAAACGUAAAGUAAGAGUGAAAGUUAUAAAAUUCUUAGAAGAAAACAUAGGGAUAAAUCUUUAUGACCUCAGAUAUGGCAAUGGCUCUUUAAAUAUG